UGGGGAAUUUUGGACAAUGGGCGCAAGCCUGAUCCAGCCAUGCCGCGUGCAGGAUGAAGGCCCUCGGGUUGUAAACUGCUUUUGUACGGAACGAAAAGCCUCUUUCUAAUAAAGAGGGGUGAUGACGGUACCGUAAGAAUAAGCACCGGCUAACUAUGUGCCAGCAGCCGCGGUAAUACGUAGGGUGCGAGCGUUAAUCGGAAUUACUGGGCGUAAAGCGUGCGCAGGCGGUCUUGCAAGACAGUGGUGAAAUCCCCGGGCUCAACCUGGGAACUGCCAUUGUGACUGCAAGGCUGGAGUACGGCAGAGGGGGAUGGAAUUCCGCGUGUAGCAGUGAAAUGCGUAGAUAUGCGGAGGAACACCGAUGACGAAGGCAGUCCCCUGGGCCUGUACUGACGCUCAUGCACGAAAGCGUGGGGAGCAAACA
rnacentral:rRNA from 1 species